GCCACUGAGUCAGAGUAGCGAGGGAGGGAGCGAGAAUCAAUCAAAUAAGUGACGUGUGCACUGUGAAGGAGGGCGUAGGGAAAUGAGAGAAAAUGUGGAAGACAGACAACGCAAAGGCAGAUAAGCACCUGGCAAUUCUGGCCUACAGAAACACGCCGAACGACAAUGAAGGACAUUCACCAGCACAAAUACUGAUGUCAAUACAGUUAAGAGAUUUAUUAAUCUCAGACCAAACACAAUUGAGACCUCAGAUACAACACAAUAGAAAUGGAGGGAAACCACAAAGUGAACCAGGAAAGGGAGAACUUUUGCAAAAGGAGAAAAAAUACC